rnacentral:lncRNA from 10 species
CGUUCAUCCACGCUGGGUGAAAGGCCGCUGUCAGACACUGGAGUCCUCCGCACAGUCCUGCAGCCGGAAGCACACGCUGCCAGUAUCCCCUCCCUCCCACUCCCAGCCUACAGACAAGCGCAUCUCUGCUGCAUUCAUCGCCGCACACGCCCUAAAAAUGUCCUCACGUGAGUCUGUGCCAGCCUGCGCGCAAACCGUGAGCCCACCGCGCUGUGUGCACGCUCAGCUUCCCCCAGGCUGCGUCCCUCCCCCGUGGGGUCGCAUUCCCUACUGGGAACCACUGCCUUCAAGCUGGAGCUCGGUCCCAGCUAGAAACACCCCCACUCCUUCUAAUGGGGCAGUAAAAAAGCAAAACUAGCUCUGUGGAACGGUCUCUUUCAGAUGUGCUUCCAGUCCCCUGUAAAACGUGUCAGCUCCAUUUAGGUGAGGUCAUGUUCUCUGGGGGCAAGCUCAUAAACUCACGGCCGAUGCAGCAUCCCGGGGAUCUCUGCGGGGGCCUGGACAGCCUGUCCCCACCUCCUGGAGGCCAGUCAGAGUCCGGGCAGCCCACUCCCUGGUCUCACAGGACCUGAGUCAUGGAGCAGAGAGAACCUGCAGAGAGACUUUCCCAUAUGGAGGCUGAGGCUAGAGAGCAUGAGAGCGUGGCCCUGGGCUCACCUGGUUAGAGGCAGCAUGGGGUCCUCUGCAGGUCCCCAAGGCCUCAACCAGGCCUGGGGGCGGUGGGAGCAGCUCACUGAUGAUGAGGAACCAACUUCAGUGCCUGAUGCUGUAGCAGCUGAGUCACAGAUAAGCAGGCACUGGCAGCUGGCACAUGCCCAGACCAACCCGACCCAGCCCAGCCCGGGCAGCGGCAGUGAGAGCUGCCAACCCCCACAGCUGCCCCUGUCUCUCACCUGCAAGCCCUGCCUGCCCCUGCCACUAGCGUGGAGCCUGUCUUCUGGGGAGGCCGGGGCAGUCCUGGUGCUUGUCAUCUCUUGCAGCAGCUGCCUGGGCUGGGCUGAGUUG